rnacentral:snRNA from 1 species
CUUCAUUCCUCCCUUUGGCUAAGAUCAAGUGUAGUAUCUGUUCUUAUCAGUUUAAUAUCUGUUUGUUUGUUUUUCAAGACAGGGUUUCUCUGUGUAGCUUUGGAGCCUAU